rnacentral:rRNA from 1 species
GACAGAGGUGCCAGGCGUUAGGCGGAAUCACUGGGCUUAAAGCGUGUGUAGGCGGAUUUGUAAGUACCUUGUGAAAUCCCAUGGCUCAACCAUGGAACUGCUCGGUAUACUGCGAAUCUUGAGCCACUUAGGGGCUACCGGAACAAAUGGUGGAGCGGUGAAAUGCGUAGAUAUCAUUUGGAACGCCAAUGGUGAAAACAGGUAGCUGGGAGUGUGCUGACGCUGAGACACGAAAGCCAGGGGAGCGAACGGG